GAUGAACGCUGGCGGCGUGCCUAAUACAUGCAAGUCGAGCGAACAGACGAGGAGCUUGCUCCUCUGACGUUAGCGGCGGACGGGUGAGUAACACGUGGAUAACCUACCUAUAAGACUGGGAUAACUUCGGGAAACCGGAGCUAAUACCGGAUAAUAUAUUGAACCGCAUGGUUCAAUAGUGAAAGACGGUUUUGCUGUCACUUAUAGAUGGAUCCGCGCCGCAUUAGCUAGUUGGUAAGGUAACGGCUUACCAAGGCAACGAUGCGUAGCCGACCUGAGAGGGUGAACGGCCACACUGGAACUGAGACACGGUCCAGACUCCUACGGGAGGCAGCCGUAGUGAAUCUGCCGCAAUGGGCUAAAGCCUGACGGAGCAACGCCGCGUGAGUGAUGAAGGUCUUCGGAUCGUAAAACUCUGUUAUUAGGGAAGAACAAAUGUGUAAGUAACUAUGCACGUCUUGACGGUACCUAAUCAGAAAGCCACGGCUAACUACGUG
rnacentral:rRNA from 1 species